rnacentral:misc_RNA from 1 species
GAUGAAGAACGCAGCGAAAUGCGAUAAGUAAUGUGAAUUGCAGAAUUCAGUGAAUCAUCGAAUCUUUGAACGCACAUUGCGCCCGCCAAUAUUCUGGCGGGCAUGCCUGUCCGAGCGUCAUUUCAACCAUCAAGCCCCGGGCUUGUGUUGGGGACCUGCGUCCGACGCAGGCCCUGAAAACCAGUGGCGGGCUCGCUGUCCACACCGAGCGUAGUAACUAACCUCGCUAUGGAGUGGCGCGGGCGCCUGCCGUAAAACCCCCAAUUUCACAAGGUUGACCUCGGAUCAGGUAGGAAUACCCGCUGAACUUAAGCAUAUCAAUAAGCGGAGGA